rfam:Cajanus cajan Scaffold000045_23, whole genome shotgun sequence.
GGUCAUGCUUUUCCACAGCUUUCUUGAACUUCUUAUGCCUCCACCUCCCGGAUUCUAAGCCCUAGAAGCUCAAGAAAGCUGUGGGAGAAUAUGGCAA